rnacentral:rRNA from 1 species
UACGUAGGGUGCGAGCGUUAAUCGGAAUUACUGGGCGUAAAGUGUGCGCAGGCGGCAGAGCAAGUCGAGUGUGAAAGCCCCGGGCUUAACUUGGGAAUUGCGCUCGAAACUACUUUGCUGGAGUGUGGCAGAGGAAGGUGGAAUUCCACGUGUAGCGGUGAAAUGCGUAGAGAUGUGGAGGAACACCAAUGGCGAAGGCAGCCACCUGGGCCGACCCUGACGCUGAGGCGCGAAGGCGUGGGGAGCGAACGGG